ACAGGCAGCGCGUCGGCAGCAUGAGCGGAAGCUCUUCACACUCUGGUCUCCCACCCACUGCACGCUCCUCCCCGCUGCACUAGCCAAAACAAGCAGCAGUGUCGCCCCUCCAGUCCUCCCUCCCCUCCCCACUGAAGACACAGCAGUCUUCAGCAGCACUCACCCCUCCCCUGCUAUCAGCGGUGGGUUCACGUACGGGACAGCAAUGCACAGACAGGAAGUCAUGUGAUGUACACCUGACUGGAGGAGCCAGCAGCCACAUGAAGAGGAGCAGCCCUGUUAGUGCACUAUCAGCCAGCUACACAGCGGGACAAAGACUCCGCAGAGGCUCAGAGACUGAUCCACUUUAAGCCACCCAGCUGUGUGAGCAGCAGCUUCUAGCAGAAAGGAAACGCACUGUCGUAAGUGCAGAAGAGGAUGUCUCUGCCCAGAUUAUUAUCGCAUCAUGCCAAAACUGUACACAAAUGUCAUAGUUAUUUAAUCUGGACAUUAAUUAUGAGCCCUCUAACAUAUAUAUCUGUAGCCUGCACAGAAAUAUGUAGGUCAGUGCCAAAGUAUAUUUUUGAUAACAGAAGAAACGUUUGCAUUCAUAUAACAAAUAAACUUUCAUUUCUGUGACAAAUAACAUAAGAAA